rnacentral:rRNA from 1 species
UGCGCAGGCGGAAUGAUUAGUCAGUGGUGAAAUCCUACAGCUCAACUGUAGAACUGCCAUUGAUACUGUCAUUCUUGAGUACAGUGGAAGUGGGCGGAAUGCAUCAUGUAGCGGUGAAAUGCAUAGAUAUGAUACAGAACACCGAUAGCGAAAGCAGCUCACUAUACUGUAACUGACGCUCAGGCACGAAAGCGUGGGGAGCAAACAGGAUUAGAUACCCUGGUAGUCC